rnacentral:rRNA from 1 species
UUGGUGAUUAUGAUAACAUAAGGGAAAAAAAAUGAUAUUACCUUAUUAUUAGUGUUGUCCAAAACUGGUGCCAGAAGACUCGGUAAGACCAGAGACGCAAACGGUAGUCAUCUUAAUCAGGCGUAAAGGGUGUGUAGGCUGCUUUAAAAGUUUAAAUCUUUUUAAUAGCUCUUUUGCCGUUGUCCUGCCAUUAUUUUUUUUAUUUUUAAAAUAAUAAACAAUAAUGAAUAUAAAGGCAGUACAUUUUUAAUUUUAUUAAUAUUAAUUUAAUUUAAUAAUUAUAAAGGGGACAAAAAAGAUAUCCCGGUUUAAGUAAAAAGAAUAAAAUGAAUUAAAGCUAGAAUCAAAUUGAGGAUAAACCAAAUAAUACUUAGAGUAGGGCCGAUAUCCGCAGAUACUAAGGGGAAUACUAAAGGUGAAAGCUUUUUAUCUACUAUUGAUUGACGCUGAGAAACGAAGGUGAGAACAGGAAAUAGGAUUUGAUACCCAUAUACCUCUCACUGUCAACGAUGAAUGGUGGUUUGUUAUUUUUAAUAAAAACUGGGAA